GACGAACGCUGGCGGCGUGCUUAACACAUGCAAGUCGAACGGUGAAGCGCCUUCCUUUUUGGUGGGUGUGGAUGAGUGGCGAACGGGUGAGUAACACGUGAGUAACCUGCCCCCUUCUUCUGGAUAACCGCAUGAAAGUGUGGCUAAUACGGGAUAUUCUGGGUCUGUCGCAUGAUGGGUCUGGGAAAGAUAUUGUUUCGGUGGGGGAUGGGCUCGCGGCCUAUCAGCUUGUUGGUGGGGUGAUGGCCUACCAAGGCGGUGACGGGUAGCCGGCCUGAGAGGGUGGACGGUCACACUGGGACUGAGACACGGGCCAGACUCCUACGGGAGGCAGCAGUGGGGAAUAUUGCACAAUGGGCGCAAGCCUGAUGCAGCGACGCCGCGUGAGGGAUGGAGGCCUUCGGGUUGUGAACCUCUUUCGCCAGUGAAGCAGGCCUGCCUCGUUUGUGGGUGGGUUGACGGUAGCUGGAUAAGAAGCGCCGGCUAACUACGU
rnacentral:rRNA from 1 species